UUUUCUAGUUUCCCACACUAUUCAUUCUUCACGAGGUUAGAACUUUGAGGCAUCCUUGCCCAAACUUUAAGCUCCGAUGUACCCGAAGGCAACUAUGUCGAGUACACGGAACGAGAGUUCCAAAUUGUCAUUCAUGAAAGGAGAACAUUUUAGUUCCUGCGAAAGCGUUCCUACGCAUGGAUGUAGUCAUGUAGAUGUACACACUAGACAGGAUCUGGAGCCCAAAGAGAGGUACAAUGGAUGUCAAUGCCGCAGAGAAAGAAGAUCGCGCUCAUUCUCUCAUGGCGUCAAAGAGGAAGCGCUCGACAAAUGCAUCCGCACCGUUGGCUGAACCCCCAGAUUCAAUCAACCCCAUUCGUGCGUUUGCUUUUCUCGACUUAUUCUACUAUCUUUCUUCAGUUUUGUUUAUCAUCUUCGUGUUUUUUUUUUUCCUUUUUUGGACAUAAAUUUGGUACCGCAUUAUUGGGAAUCUGGGUUUUUGAUGCUGAAGUUUGCUAGUUUAAAAUAGAUUUGGGAACAGCUUUUAGAGCUCAGGAGGGUUUUUUGCUUUCAGAAUUUACCUUUUAUUUUUUGGGCAUUUGUAGAAGGAGCUUGUUGCUUUUUGAUUUGGGUUGCUGGGUAUUCCAGUGUUUGUGAUGUAUGGCCGCUUUAGUUAGUUGGCAAAUUGUUUUAGUACUUCACGGCUUAAAAUAAAUUUCUGUGUUUAUUUUUCAAGCCAGAGCCAUUCAGCAUCUGUAGUACAAUGCGAGACUUCGUAAUAACUAUGACAUUGUGGAGCUUGCCAUUUGGACAUGGUUUGAAAGUGAAUUGAUUGUCAAUGCCAGAGGUGACAAGGUUUAAGGUUUACUAGAAUAUAUUUUCUUUGGUGUAAUGGUAAUGUAUUUGAUUGCUCAUUUUUUUUAUUUCAUUUACUAGGCUUUUACAUGGAGUAUCUGUGAUUUCUCUUAUAUCUUUGGUCUCUCUUCAGUUACACUAGCGUCCUUGGGCUAUGUUCCUUGAGCUUCUUGACCCUUUAAGUGCUAUCCUGGUAUCUAGUAGAUAAGAUGGUUCUCAUGCCCUGAACUGAAAUUAUCUUUCUAUGCAUGGUCUUCAUGAACCUUUUCUUAUUUGCUCCAUCAUGAACCUAGGACUGAAACCUUUCUUAACUGGGAAUUGCUAAAGCUCAUUCUUUCAUUUUCUCUGGGUGCAUGGGGAAGGGUGGCAUGAAAUAUUAUAGGAAUUGGAUAGAAAGUCACCCAAAUCCCAAAUAACCUUCAAAACCCUUUGAAUGUCAUUUAUCAUUGGCAAUGUCUAAUGCCUCUAAUUAAAGCUGUCUUUCUAUGCAUGGCCAUCAUGAGCCUUUUCUCAUUUGCUGAGAAUGUUGGUCACUGGGACUGAAAAUUUUCUGAGGUGGGAGCAUUCUUUCAUUUUUCUUUGGGCGUAUGAGGAAGGGUGGAAUGAGAGCUAAAAGGUGAUAGCCUCUAGCGUGGGCUUAACCUAGUUAUAAAAUUUCCAAUUACACUAAUUCUGUAUGCUUCCUUUAUUAAUUAUUGCUUGUGCCGUCUCCUUGGAUGACAUGACCUAAAUAAUCAGCUCAUUUUCUCCUCUUGAUUAAGAUUUUUACAUGGAAGGCUUCCAAUCCUUCAGUUUUAAGGCGGUUGCACAUAUGCCACCAGAGUCCAUUGAGAGGGCUACAUUGUUAAUGAAAACUUUUGCUCUAGUGGCAGAUGUUGAGCUUUUAGAGUGCACUUGUGUUUAGAAAAUCUUAAGGGCUUAGAAAAAAUAGGUGAAUCUAAGUCGCUGUUAAUAAGAAUUGAAGUGGGAGGUGAGUCUAAGUUGGUGAUUGAUUGCACCCUAUAUAAUUGCAAGGCCCCGGAAACUAUGAGCAUUGUUGCAAGUUACAGGCUCGAUCAAAUCCAGGAUUUUGAGGAAGUCUCCUUUAGCAAUGUUUACAUGAAACAAAAUGAUCUGCAGAUGCUGUAGCAUUGGCCAUAUGUACCAGGAAACUAGACAGUGAACUAAUAUUACACAUGAGAUUCGGGAUAUUUUGUGGGGUAAUAUAUGUAGUGUCUCAACCUUGUUUUCGAUGUUCCAGUUUGCUACUUCCCAACUCCAAAAGAGAGAUAAUGUUGAAUCUCCUUGAAGAUGGACAUAUUUAUGUCUUGACAUUUUAAUCUGAACAGGCUUGGGAUUUCCUUUGUGCUUUAGGUGCCUUUUUUUAAUUUUUUUACAUAUUUGCUUUUUCCAGUUCGGUGUCAUCAGCAGUUGUUUGGCAGCUUUUUUUUUUUUCUUCUUAGAAACAAAGAAUUUUAUUCAAAGAGAGAAAAGAAUAUAUCUUGGAAGAGAGACAUCCUCCAAACCAACAAGAAAGAAACUCAACGGAGAAAUAGAGAUCAGGAACCGAAAAAAAAAAAAGCCAAGUACAACACUAAUGCAGCAAAGCCACCUACGCUGCUUAUCAGGUGAAGAUACUCUUCUAAAAAGCCAUUUGAAGAACACCAAAAUGACGCAAAAAAACACCACCUCACUCCAAACCAGCAUGGGAGGUACCUUCAAGAUUCUAGCAUUCCUCUCCGAGCAUACACACCAAAACCUCUAAAGAGCUUUCCUGUGACCCUGUCCCUCUCCUUUCCAAACUUGUUAAAUGAAGACGACAAAGGCUAUCCAAGUCAGAAGGGCAAACCCAGUUCUUCCCAAAAACAAGAAGCAUAUUAUUCCAAAUACACUUUAUGACAAAGGACAAUGCAAGAAUAAUAUGAAUACCUCUCCCCACUACUAAACCGAAGCACACAGACAUCUGGAUACAAUGCCUUGUUAGGCCUCUUCUCAAGCAAAUCAUUGACAAGUUUUUCAAAUUGCUGUCCAAGUGACACCCUUUUGUCUUUAGGGAAUCUUCAGUCCUGUUUAGUUGAGUAGAACAUUUUCCAUUUCUGUUUUUUUUUUUUUCCAAAAAAUUAUAAAAAUUCCAACUUAUUUUUAGCUUUUCAUGAUUUAUAUUAAUAAGGUAGAAAAUAAAGAGUUUGUUUAGUUGUGCAAGACAAUUUUUUAUUUUAAUUUUUAGGAUCAUGGAUUUUGGGACUAGGAUUUAAAUUUGUGUGGAUUUGGAGGCAACUCUAUACAAUCUAUGCCAUAUUUUUCAUGAUUUACACAAAUCCAAAUUCAAGAUUUGAAUUCUAUGCUCCCAAACACAGAGUAAGAAAUCAGAAAUUUAAAAAAUAAUAAAAAAUGUUUUCCAAAUUUCCUAUACAAAUUUAGAAAAUUGGAAAACUAGAUAGCAUUUUUGUAAUUAUUUGAAAAAUUGGAAGUAAAAAAUGAACUAUUUCCAUAAGCAAAUAGUGCCAAGACAUGUUAUUGUUUUUCAUUUUUUGCAUACAAAUGUUGUAAAACUGAAAAAUUAGCUGACUCUUUUUGUAAUUUUUGGGAAAACUAAAAUGAAAAAUGAAAAAUAUUUUCUGCAACUGAACGGGCCCUUAGGUUUCCUAAUAAAGGAAUAUAAGGAAAAGGAGUAGCACCAAGAGCGUGGAUUGUAUGAGUUAAAGAUUUUCAAUAAAAGUUUUGAGAAGCAUUGGAUCCCAAUUCCUUUUAUCCCUCCUUAAAAGACAUACAAUAAGACCCAAGCACAUUCAGCAACAAGAUCAAUUCAUUCAUCUCUCUAACAUUCAAAUUCCUCACUAAGUAAAAAUUCCAUGACUCCACUCUCUGAAUUAAGAAAAACAAAAAUCGGAGACUGGGGCAUCAAGAAUGCUAGACAAACAAAAGUGAUAGGAAAAAGCUUAAAUUGAAGGAGCCUUCCCGACCCAAUGAUUCUACCAAAAAUGGAUUUUCUGAUCUCUCCCAUUGACCGUCUGGCAGCAUGUUUUUCAUUUGCUCCCUGGAUUGUUAUGAUUCAGUAAAUGAAUCCAUUUGUCCCCACCGCCACCCCCCAUCCCACCCCCCGUUUGCAGCCCCAACACCACAAAUGGGAAGUUUUGGAUCCAAAUUGGAUUUUAGAAGGAAAACCAUGGAUGGCACAAAAGUUCCCCAUCCACCUAUCUCAUUGAACCACAGCUUCAUUGGUCAUUACUGUUCUUUAGUGAUACUGUGCAGUGAAAUGUUUGUGCAUUGGGCCUGAAACAUCUUUCAAAGCUAAAAUGACAUCACAUUUGCUCAUGGUUAUUAAAUUCACGAUCUAGAUCAUAGGAUCAUACAAUUCUAUGAUCCAGAUUCACCCAAACGAUCCAAGUCAGCAAAAAUCAGAAUCAAGUAGAAUCGUGGUAGAAUUGUAAAAGAAUCGGUAGAAUCAUAGAAUCGGAACCAUAGAAUCGUAAGUAGAAUGGUACAGAUCCUACUCUGUUACCUGGAUUAGGAUUUUUUUCCCCUUUUUGGGCUUCAAUAAUGUGGCCCAACACAUGUUUUUAUUGCCCAAAGGAUGUUUCGUCCAAAGUCUUCUAAAACUGGGGCAAAAAAUGGCUCCCAGCCUCCCAUCAGUGAACAGAUUCAGCAGAAUUUGCACCUGAUUUCCCUGGAAUUCGACACCUCAGUCCUCUAUCCCUCAUUGAAAUUCAGCAACCCUGCACCUGAAUUUCUCUCCUGUUCGACAACCAGAGAGCCCUCCAUCUGAUGACUGGUGGUUGAUCAGCAGCAGCUAGCAGUCUUGCUGUUUAAUCAACAGUUCUUUGGCAUUCAACAAUCAGAGUUCCUGGGGUUUGAAAAAAAGUCAGUCCUCAGUCCUUAGUCCUCUUCCUUCUUUGGUGUUUGACAAGAACACAUCAGUCAUCUUCAACACAGAGCAGCAGCCAAGAAAAGAGCCAAGCCAGCUGGCCCAGUAGAACUGCAGAGAUGUCCUUUUGAUCUGAGAAUGCUUUUGAACCACUGAACAGAACUCUUUGGAAUUCUUGUCAAGUUAUUCUUGUAAUCCACAAAGUAGAGGCCAAACCGGACAGUAUAGCCUGAGUUCCAUUCCCAGUUGUCAAGCAAAGACCACACAAAGAACUAAUAACAGCAGCAUCAGAUGUAGCAUCCUGAAGUAUCAGUUUCCGAAUCCCUGCCCUGUCAUUACGGGCAUAUAAUGUAGUAUAAUGAUUUAUGCCAACAAAAUCCAAGGACCCCGCAAGGAAUUUUGACAUCACAUUUGAGAUCUCAGGCAAUCUCUUACCCACAAGCUUCUGCAUUGAAAGGGGAUAUUCCCCAAAGAACAGGGGAUCAAGGAACCUGAUUCACAUUUUAUGCAUUAUGUGAGUAUAUAUGAACUCAAUUUCUUACUUUGCAUCAUGAGUCAAUAUUUGUAAGAUAUUCUCCUUAACUAGUUACCAUCCAAUUCCAAAAUCCAUCGCUCUUUGUGCAGCAUCCUUGUCUUCAUCACUAUUAGAAAGAGUUGACUGCCUAUUGGAAUAAAAUCUAGUAAAAGAAUUAUACUGAGAGUCAAAGGAAUACCUUGAAAUGGAGCUGGUAGUUAUGAUAAACAGCUGCAUGAGCCAGGAGAAUAUUGUGGGCCACCAGGUAUGGUUCAGUGGAUGAUUUUCCUGCCUUACAGAAAAUGUGACCAAGAAUAGAGCACCUACCAGGUGCUUGAACGCCUGUGUCAUAACCUUGAAGUGAAAAACCACGAGGCUCAUUAAAGGUGAUCCAGUGUUUCACCCUAUCUCCAAAUGCUUGGAAGCAGAGGGAAGCAUAAUGCUCAAAGUCUUUUCUGAAAUUGAAUGGAAGCUAUCUUAAAUCCUGCAUUGAUGGGUAUUCCCAAAAAAUGUAAUCCAUGAUUCUAAUAUACGUACACUAUUUGUCUACUCAACCACCCUUCAUAUUUAUCUUCAAGCAUCUGAGGAAGAUCCCAAUGAUAAAGAGUUACAUAGGGCUGGAUUCCUGAUGGCCAAAAGAAAAAUGGUGUUGAACUUUAAUCUUUCAUACGCAAGUCUAUUUGUCAAAGAAUUAUAUCAGAAUGACCUUUUUCUAGUAAAGCAUCUAUAAGAUUGUUGUAGUAAUCUAAUCCUUCUGGAUUCAGUUCGCCUGUCCCAUCUGUUAAAGAUAAAUUCUGUUACAGUUAAGCGAGUAUUAAAUGUCGGCAGGAAAUCUGGAAAAGGAAAAUUUCUGCAGGAAGUCGUAUCUUACUUGGUAGGAUUCUUGACCAUGAUAUUGAGAAUCUGUAAGCAUCCAUUCCCAGGUCCUUCAUCAGGUUUAUAUCACUCUGUAAUGUUGAGUUUUUUUUUUUUUCCACAUUUCAGUAAGAGACAAAAUGGUUUGGUUUCUUUGAUUGACCAUUUAGCUUUUCAGUUGUAUAUGCCAGUUGUCUUUACAUAAACAAACUAUUCUUAUUCUUUUCUCGUGGAGGUCACAAUCUCUAUCCUUUAAUGUUAUUUUCUUUAUACCAUCUUUAUCCUCAUUCACAUCAUGUUUUGGGGAACAUUCUUC